GUUUUGCUGUCGAUCAACGGAUACAUUUAUAGUUUUGCUUGCAGCAAAACAAAGUAACUUUUAUGUGCGACAUCGAACCACCAAUCCACCUCAGAACCAUGUCCUGUCGACACUCUCACCAAGGACGGUUUUAUAUGAUGUAUGCGGCGUGCGGAGUGAGUGGCAAACGAUACUUCAUCUAAGCUGCUCAUCGUUUUCUUCCUCUACUGCGGUAUCGGAAUCGUAACAUCGUAAAUAUGGCCCCAGCGACCUAUUUCUAUUGUUGCGACAAAUGUCAGCACGCGUCGUACGAAUCAUCGGUGGUAUGCUGCCCGAAGAACAAAGCUGUGAACCCACAGCCCGAUUGCACGAUCAGCACAGUUACAGCACAGCGUAAGGUUCAACAUCUGGGGCUCGCGUUGAGCUAACAGCACGGCACCGUCAACGACACGAUCGGUCACCCAACGCCAUGCCCGUCGAAUGAUCCGCCCUCCACCGACCAAUCUGCUGACGCCGAUGGGCGCCCAAUCGCGCAACUCGGAAACAGAAUCUGCCUCAACCCCACGACCGUGACAUUACUAUUAGAUAAUAAAAGUGCGA